CCGGUUUAAAUCCUAUGGUUGCCUCUUGGCUAUCGAAAGGCAAAAAACUUCUGUUAGAAGUUCCACCAGAGUAUAGAGGGAUGGAAAUUCCUCUAAAAUAUAAAAAGUUGUCAAACAGUGAGGAAAAGGAUGCUGAGCAGACAAAAUGCAACAUAUGUUCAUCAUAUUUCAUAUGGGUAACAAUACCUUUAUUUUGUUCUCAUACUUACUUGGUUCAUUAUUGAAUUCCAGGUAGAAAAUAGUUUAUUUUUCCUUUUGAACUCUGAAAACAUUGCUUCCGGAGGACAGCUCGCGGUGCAUGCAGAGCAAAGUGUGCAGCAGUCGACAAGCCAGCUCCUGCGGGGCCCUUCAUGCUCGCUCUUCCCGGGCGCCCGCUACCCGCUGGCGCCCUCUACCCGCUGGCACUGAGCGGGCCACCUUGUCUCCGGAUCUGCCUCGCGCAGACCCUCCAGCCUCCAACGCCUCACCUCAUCCCUGCCCAGCGCCCCGCCAAGAAUCUCUUUAUUCUGAAAUUUCAUCAGGUGUGGACAGAUGGAAUCGCCACUUAUAUAUGUUAUAAUUUUGCUUUUGAAUAUGUUGGAAUUUUCAUCAGGAAUGGUAUAUGAUAAAGAUGUUAUGGAGAAACAUUUUGCUUGUUCUAACCAAGGGCUCCCCAAAAUUAAUGAAAUAAUGAAGUUGCGUCUAUCCUCAAAAAAUUUGAAAAUCCAGUGUUUUUUCCGAACGGAGAAUGAGCUUAUUUCCAAGGAAAUGCUAAGUACGUUCACAUCUGGAGGACUUGCUCCCACCUUGGAAAUCAUAAAUAGUACAUAUCAUGGCAUCUUCCACUUUAAUUUAACAUUGUUGAAUGAUCGGAUUUUCUGGUUAAUUGAUAUUCCUAGAGAAAACAUCACAAGUAACACGGAUAUUGCUGCUGUAGAAGAAUGGUUAGUAAAGAUCACUUUACAUCAAGGAUUAAAUAUUUAUGCUAUUGAAGGAACCCUAUUGGAUAGUGUUCGAGAACCUAUUCUUCAGUGGAAUCUUGGGGAUGAAAUGUCAUCACAAGAGAUCAGUGUAUUACGUCCACAUGUGAUAGAUCUCAAAGUGACAAAGUGCCCCUGUGCCAAUGAUAUAGCAUUACUUGGCUUCCUUUUGAAUACAAUAUAUAAUGGUGUUUACAUAGGCCUCAGCUCAUCUGGAUUUUGGCAUUAUAGUGAUACGGUGUGGUAUAACAUGACAAAUAUCAUCUAUUCAGCCCUUCGAAGAGAAUACACAGGAUUAUCAGUGAUGGAUAUGGUUUUAACAAAUCAUUUUCUAGUUCUCCUUACCUCUUUGGGUCUUUUUGUAAGUGGAGAUCUUCGUUACCCAUCAGCCAAAGACUUAAAGGUUGACUAUGUCAAAGGAAAAUUAUGGUAUAAUGAAAGGUGUUUUGCUAACAGAGAACAUUUUGAAGUUGAUUAUGUUACUAUCACCUUUGACAGAAACAAGACCCUAAGUGAGGCAAGCUCUUGUUUUUAUAGUAAAGAACCAUUUCUUGAGUGGUUAUCUUGCUUACCUCAUGUUUUCGAUGAUGUAAAAAAUACACUUCCAAGUGAGAUAACAUUUCUUAUUGACCAAGAGCAUAAUACGGGAAUUUACCUCUUCUAUGACCAGGUAUGGCUUUCAAUGGAUGGCGGCAACACUUUUAAAUUAAUAGCUGACUUUCAUGGUGACAUAAUAAAGAAGAUUUAUCAUUGUUUUUAUACUUCAGAUGUUACUUUUGUUUCCCAAAGUGGAAAGGUUUACCUGACGAAGGCAGGUAAGAAAUUUACUUUUAUUGAUGUAAGCACUACAUGAAGACUAGGGAUUAGAAGACAUAUGAAAUACGUGUCUUAUUAAUCAACUAGUCCUGUGACCUCAAACCUAUUAGGGAUGGUGAAUUUGUAGAAUCUACAAAAAAAGAUCCUAUGAACAGCCUGAAGAAGGGAAACUGUAGAUUCACCACACUACAUUCUCAUUCUCAAUUUCAGUGCUAUUUUACUUUUGUAAAAUCCAAAUAAUAAUAGAUGCUAUUUAUCAAGUUACAAUUGUUCUCAGCCUAUUACAAAUAUCACCUCAUUUAAUAUUCACAACAAUCUUGCCAAAGUAGGGAAUGUUAACUUACUUUUGCUGAUUAAAUAGAUACAACUAAGGUCACACACACAUAUAAGAAAUAGAGUACAUGAAUGAUCUCAAUCUUCUUGAUUUGGUAGUCUUGGGAUUUUGUUGGUCAAAUUUACAUAAUUCCUAUCAGUUUGUUGGCACAACAGCUAACAUGGACUGGUCUUACUAACAAUUGUCCACUUUUUUCCAAUUCAGUUCAAUUUUGUUUAGCAGUGUAGAAGCCUAGAAUAAUAAACGGACGAGGUUCUUAAUUUCUUUCUUUUUGUUGUAUCAGGAAUCAAACUCAGGACCUUGUGCUUUAGAGGCAGGCACAUUGCCACUGAGCUAAAUCAGCAGCCCACUUAAUU
rnacentral:lncRNA from 1 species